AUUGAACGCUGGCGGCAGGCCUAACACAUGCAAGUCGAGCGGAGCGGCGGACGGGUGAGUAAUGCCUAGGAAUCUGCCUGGUAGUGGGGGAUAACGUCCGGGAACGGGCGCUAAUACCGCAUACUAUCGGUUCAGCCUAGGUGGGAUUAGCUGGUUGGGGGGGUAAAGGCCUACCAAGGCGACGAUCCGUAACUGUUCUGAGAGGAUGAUCAGUCACACGGGAACUGAGACACGGUCCAGACUCCUACGGGAGGCAGAAGUGGGGAAUAUUGGACAAUGGGCGAAAGCUGGAUCCAGCAAGGCCGCGGGUGGGAAGAAGGUCUUCGGAUUGUAAAGCACUUUAAGUUGGGAGGCGUUACCAACAGAAUAAGCACCGGCUAACUUCGUGCCAGCAGCCGCGGUAAUAC
rnacentral:rRNA from 1 species